rnacentral:rRNA from 1 species
CCUACGGGAGGCAGCAGUGGGGGAUAUUGCACAAUGGGGGAAACCCUGAUGCAGCGACGCCGCGUGGGCGAAGAAGUAUUUCGGUAUGUAAAGCCCUAUCAGCAGGGAAGAAGAAAUGACGGUACCUGAGGAAGAAGCACCGGCUAAAUACGUGCCAGCAGCCGCGGUAAUACGUAUGGUGCAAGCGGUAUCCGGAUGUACUGGGUGUAAAGGGAGCGCAGGCGGCACGGCAAGCCUGAUGUGAAAGCCCGGGGCCCAACGGCGGGACUGCAUUGGGAACUACCGGACUGGAGUGCCGGAGAGGUAGGCGGAAUUCGUAGUGUAGCGGUGAAAUGCGUAGAUAUUAGGAGGAACACCAGUGGCGAAGGCGGCCUACUGGACGGUAACUGACGCUGAGGCUCGAAAGCGUGGGGAGCAAACAGGAUUAGAUACCCUGGUAGUC